GUCAGGAUGGCCGAGCGGUCUAAAGCGCUGCGUUUAGAUCGCAUUCCAAUUCUGUGGGCGUGGGUUCGAAUCCCACUUCUGACA